rnacentral:tRNA from 1 species
GCCCCCGUAGCUCAAUGGAUAGAGCACCGGACUUCUAAUCCGACGGUUGUGCACUCGAAUGCACUAUGGGCG